rnacentral:tmRNA from 1 species
GGGGGCGACUGGCUUCGACGGGGUUGGUGAAGCUAAGGCCGCGUGUCCAGGUCCUCAGAUCCUGGUUAAACCUUUGGGACGAAUCACAAUUGCCAACGACAACUUGGCUCUGGCUGCGUAAGGUCUAGUACCUUCUCGCACCUGCUCGGCAGAAAGCUCGCCUGAGGCGUUCUGACGAGUAUCGAAAAUUCGGGCUAGUCGGCGGACGCGUCUUCCGCUCGUCGGCGAAAUUUUAGAAGACUUGUUCAGCGUGGGCCGCCUACUGGCCAGCGUCUGGAGACCUCAAUCGGUAGGCUACGCACGUAGACGCCGUGGUGAAUCUUGUCUCGGACCGGGGUUCGAAUCCCCGCGCCUCCAUCU